CAGCGCGGCGCCAUGAAGCCCAAGGCGGAGGUAGCGAACGAUGUGGUGGCCGCUGCGGUGGAUCAGCUCACCGAAGCGGCCAAGCUUGCCGAGGCCGGCGACGCCUUCGGAGGCAGUGGGUUGGAGGCGUUCGCAUUGGCCGUGCUCGUCUGCUGGUUGGAAGAGACGGAGAGGUCCUGUCUGGACAGCGCGGAGAGGAGGAGCACGAUGGCGUUGCCGAGGACGAAGGUGAAGCGGGCGUUGAGGAGGAGCGACCCCGCGAGGCGCAGCACGUGCAGGCGAGCGCAGCUCCCCGCAGCGGCCGCCAUUGGCGACAGAACAGAGCUCCGCAACUUUUUCGAAUUUGCCGCAACCAAGCCAUAAAAAUCCGAUUCCUUGCACCCGGAGAUAGCUCACGACCUCCUCUACAUGAUCCACCAACCGGCCGGCCAAACCCUGGGUUGGAGAGGCUCGCCGCCGGCGAACCCGAACCGCCUGUAGGCCGCCGCCGCGACCUCGUAGUUCCAUCAUCCGGAACGCCUCCAUGCACGGGCGGCGACGGCCUCCAUGUGCAGGCUGAUGGUGGGACGUACCCUCCGGAGCGGAGAAGUACCACGACAGCCCCAUCGAAGCGCCAAAGAGUCACGAGUGCACUCGCGGCCUCCCAUGGGGGCGCGGCGGAUGGGAUCCGGCGGUGCCGGCUCGGAUUCCGGCGGCUCCCAGGCUCCCUCCGCAUGCAGUGCUGCUCGAGCUCGGGAGCAGCUGCGGCGGCGUGAGCGCUUCCCGGUGGCAGGCGGCACGUGGCAGCGGCGGCCGGCUGGCGGGCCUGCGCGAGCCUCGAGCUCACCUGGCGGCGGUCCCUCCUCCACCUCCUCCUCUCCCUCUGGCGCGCGCGGCGCAACAACGGUUGCGAGGUGGGGCCGCAGUGAGAGUAGCGGACGCUCGGCAAACCGCUAGGAAUAGCGGAAGCGCUAGUAUAGCGUUUCGUUUUGCAGUACCCGGUGCAGCUCCAUAUACGCUAAAUUGAUCAUUCAGGAUCCGGUCGCGGACGCUUUACCGGAUCCGCUGCGGUCAGCCUUACCCGCCCGCUCGUACCGGUGGAGGGGGCAAAAAAUUCCAUAGUUUGUGAGAUGCCCGCAGCUCUGUCCGCAACUCUGAUAGCGACAGGGGAUGCACGGCCCUCAAUCGUGGGCAGCACAACGCCGGCAGCACCGCUCGCGACUCCGACGGCGGCACUUCAAACACGUUCCUGUGGCGGCGUCGUGGAGCCGGAGGGGAAUUUCUCCAUUGACGGCAGCUUGCUGGUGCCAUGGUUGCGGCCGUCUCCUCGGCCUCGUCGAGUUCUCCUGGUUCCGCCGGUGCAGCUCCAACUGCCGUCGUGCUCGUCGGCGGCGCAACAGGCCGCAUCUCAUAUUUCACCUCCUCUUUUUGCAGGAUGAAAAUUUAACACGCGCGGGUUGUUUCUUGUUUUUGGCCUCCGAUCCAUCGCUGAUAAAAUCAAUGGAAUCAAGAGCUGGAGAUGAAGCAAGGGUGCGUUCCUGUCCUCGGCGGCAGCUGCAGCGCCCGGGGAGGCGGGGAUACGUACGGGGAUCUGCGCUUGCCGUGGACACCGGCGCCCGCGUCCUCGCCGCGCUAGCCAUUCCUGGCCGAGGCGGGCGGCGGCGGCGGCUGCCGAGCGAGCCGCGCCGGAAGAUCGAGAUGUUGUCGCCGGCGUUCUACGCGGCGUUGAUCCGAACUGCUUUUUCCUCUAGGUGUUUGAUCCGAACUGAUUCUCUCCCUCACUAAUCCACACCAGUUAUUUCAUCAUCGUAUGUCAGGAGUCCAGGACAAGUAUAAUCUUUGAGAGAACAAUGCGAAUUUGUACCACUGCUAGAGCUGAAGUUUAAGCUUCUUAAUCAAUUUAUGUAUGCAAUUAUAUUA